rnacentral:pre_miRNA from 1 species
ACGAUACUCCAUCCAUUUGAAAUUACUUGUCGCAGAAAUCGAUGUAUAUAGACGUAUUUCAGUUCUAGAUACAUCCAUUGUUAUCCAUUUCUACGACAAGUAAUUUACUACAGAUGGAAUAUUUU